AAACCAUGAUGAGGACAAAGGCGAUGUAGAUCCUUGAAUCCUUCCCAAGCUUCAUAGAAUGAUUCGCCAGGAUCUUGGGUGAAGGUCACUAUCGCAUGACACAUAUCUGUAGUCU
rfam:Beta vulgaris subsp. vulgaris Bvchr9.sca011.con0047.1, whole genome shotgun sequence.